rnacentral:rRNA from 1 species
UACGUAGGGCGCAAGCGUUGUCCGGAAUUAUUGGGCGUAAAGAGCUCGUAGGCGGUCUGUCGCGUCUGCCGUGAAAACCCGAGGCUUAACCUCGGGCUGGCGGUGGAUACGGGCAGACUAGAGGUAGGUAGGGGAGACUGGAAUUCCUGGUGUAGCGGUGAAAUGCGCAGAUAUCAGGAGGAACACCGGUGGCGAAGGCGGGUCUCUGGGCCGUAACUGACGCUGAGGAGCGAAAGCGUGGGGAGCGAACAGG